AAAAAGACAAACCAUGGGUUUUCGUGUCUAAUAUUUGACUGUCCGUCUUAUAUGAAUUUUUUUAUAAUUAGUAUUUUUAUUGUUGUUAGAUGAUAAAACAUGAUUAAUACUUUAUGCGUGACUUGUCUUUUAAAUUUUUUCCAUAAUUUUUUCAAAUAAGACAGACGGUCAAACGUUGGACACGGAAACCCAGGGUU
rnacentral:pre_miRNA from 1 species